rnacentral:rRNA from 1 species
AGUGAACGCUGGCGGUAGGCCUAACACAUGCAAGUCGAACGGCAGCACAGUAAGAGCUUGCUCUUACGGGUGGCGAGUGGCGGACGGGUGAGGAAUACAUCGGAAUCUACUUUUUCGUGGGGGAUAACGUAGGGAAACUUACGCUAAUACCGCAUACGACCUACGGGUGAAAGCAGGGGAUCUUCGGACCUUGCGCGAUUGAAUGAGCCGAUGUCGGAUUAGCUAGUCGGCGGGGUAAAGGCCCACCAAGGCGACGAUCCGUAGCUGGUCUGAGAGGAUGAUCAGCCACACUGGAACUGAGACACGGUCCAGACUACUACGGGAGGCAGCAGUGGGGAAUAUUGGACAAUGGGCGCAAGCCUGAUCCAGCCAUACCGCGUGGGUGAAGAAGGCCUUCGGGUUGUAAAGCCCUUUUGUUGGGAAAGAAAAGCAGCAGGUUAAUACCCCGCUGUUCUGACGGUACCCAAAGAAUAAGCACCGGCUAACUUCGUG